rnacentral:lncRNA from 1 species
CCAAGUUAGAUCCAUACUCAUCGUCAGCACCUAUGUGGCUAGUUAAGAAGUAUCUUGAUCUGGCAUGGUAAGUUAAGAACUACAAUAGUACUGACAUGGAUGGAUGUCAGGCAAAAAAAUAUCUCCCACAUACACGUGAGCUGCACAUGCUUGUCUCUAUCAAAACUUUUUCUUUCAUUCCCUCCCAACUUUCAACCAUUGCUAUCAGUCCCUUUCUCUCAAAUUCCUUUAAAAAAAUCUAGUGUUUUGGAUGUGAUUUGUUGCAUAUUUUGCUUCAAAUAAGUAGGAAGAUAAAUUGCUCCAAUC